rnacentral:ncRNA from 1 species
CAAAAUAGGAUUACAUGCGUUAAGUGUUCGUUGGAUGGGGAGUUGCCGCGAAACGAAAGGUAAUACCUUGCGAUAUGUUUUCCGCACCCGUUG